rnacentral:rRNA from 1 species
GACGAACGCUGGCGGCGUGCUUAACACAUGCAAGUCGAACGAUGAAGCCUAGCUUGCUAGGUGGAUUAGUGGCGAACGGGUGAGUAAUACGUGAGUAACCUACCUUUAACUCUGGGAUAAGCCUGGGAAACUGGGUCUAAUACCGGAUACGACCAAUCUCCGCAUGGGGUGUUGGUGGAAAGCGUUAUGUAGUGGUUAUAGAUGGGCUCACGGCCUAUCAGCUUGUUGGUGAGGUAACGGCUCACCAAGGCGACGACGGGUAGCCGGCCUGAGAGGGUGACCGGCCACACUGGGACUGAGACACGGCCCAGAUUCCUACGGGAGGCAGCAGUGGGGAAUAUUGCACAAUGGGCGCAAGCCUGAUGCAGCGACGCCGCGUGAGGGAUGACGGCCUUCGGGUUGUAAACCUCUGUUAGCAGGGAAGAAGAGAGAUUGACGGUACCUGCAGAGAAAGCGCCGGCUAACUACGUG